AAUAUUAUUUACCGGUAUGGUCGGUCCGUAUAGAGAAAUAUUUCUCUCGGUCUUAAAAACGUCCCUCGGCCUUCGGCCUCGGGCCGUUUUUAAGACCUCGAGAAAUAUUUCUCUAUACGGACCUCCAAUCCGGUAAAUAACAUA